GGAGGUGCGGGUCGUGACGAGGGUGGCUGGGCUCUUUCUGCCCCGGUGGCUGCUGUCUCCUGGGCCGCGACGGGAACUGUAAACUGCAGCGGCGGGCUCGGGCCGGCUCCGCUCGCGCCCUCCUCGGCCUCUGGGCCGCGCUCUCCCGCGACGUUUGCUUUCCUCUCCCCACCCGCGCCUGCCUGGUUCCCGGCCUUUGCCAGGCCCAAGUUCUCUGGGUCGCUCUCCCUCCUGUAGCGCCGAGAAAACACCAUUCCGAGGGCCGCCGCUCGGCCGGCAGUCGGCUGUGAAAGAACUGGAUCUUGUGACUGCUGGAAAAUUUCGCUUUAGUGUAAGGUCCGAGUGCUUCAGCCGUGGGCCACCUUUGAAAAUAAAAUGUAAUUGUUAUUUCUCA